rnacentral:lncRNA from 1 species
GCCUCUUUCUUAUUUCAAGGUAUGACACUAACAGAAUAGGGAGUCUCAACCAGUAAGCACAUCACCGGAGGUGAAGAGAUAAAGGUGUCUGCACAGUUUAUAUACAGUUCAGAUAAUAUCAAAGCAGUAACAUUUAGCACAUUCAACACAAAACAUGUAGGAAAAUCAGAUACAAUUAAAUAUAGCAAUUUAUCUAAGCUCGAAUUCUGAACCCUGAACCAGAGAUUCUGGGUUCGGUCUCUAGCAGAGUCGCCAGAGCUGUCACACCUCCUUUUUCUACCUACACCCCCAGAAGAGGGCGUAAAGGAGUUUUUCCAAUUAAAGGACAAUCAGAACGGGAUUUAAUUAUUAAUGAUUCAGAGUCGCCACUUGGGAUAUUAAUGGUGUCCCAAGUCACCGGUUGAAUCCCGAACCGAGGAAAAAUAUGACUCUGUUAACAACCCGCGAACCAGAAAUCCGCGUAAGGAAUUCUGUUAACCCGGGAGAAGGUGUUAGGCAUUCCCGGGUUCCGUGGUUCUAGCACGGUCGCUUAACUAUUGUGUUUAAUUUCAUUUUUUAAUACAUGCUAGCUUAUGUGCCUUUUAUUUGUAAACCACUUUUUAUCAUUAUUUAUUUUAAAAUAAUUGCGACGUCGUGAAAACGCGUUUCGAACCACGUCGCAAUCAAUGCACCCGCGGUUGUCGACACAUUUCGACUUCGUGGAGAUUUGGCUUUGGGUCACAUAAAUGCACACCCGAGUUUAGGAACGUAAAUUAUUAAAUUAGCGCGCCUAAAACAACUACGCGUUUGCAACUUUGCAAGGGCCAUGGAAAGUCCACUAGGUGGCACGCCUCGAAUUCUAAGGAAUCAAAUAUCAAUUAAAUAAGGGCCAUGCAUUUUGAGAUUUUAUUUGGCACGACACGCCUCGAAUUCUAAGGAAUCAAAUAUCAAUUAAAUAAGGGCCAUGCAUUUUGGGAUUUUAUUUGGCACGGCACGCCUCGAAUUAUUUUAAAAGGAUUUUUACUUAACUAAAUUAGACUACGAUGCCUUUGAAUUAAUUAAUCUACUAAAAACUAAUUUAAGAUAAACGACGGGAUCAUAUGAACUAACAAUUUGCUAAUAAACCAACUAAUUGAAACAAAAUGCAAAGAAAAUUUACUUCAUUCGCAACUUUUAUAACAAACAGAAGCAUGUGGUCAUCUAUUGAGCAUUAUUUCUUAGUUAUAUACAGUUAUCAUCUUCACUUGUUUUAUGAUGCAAUAACACAGAUAUUAGAGCAAACGACUUCAACAUAUAAUCGUGACCACAGAACUCUUAUUAACCUAACAACCAAAAGUCAAGAAAUUAGAAAAUAUCACGGCAACCCAAGAAAAACUCAAUCAAAUCCACAUCGUCUUCAAUAUCGACAAACAAAGUGUUAACACUUAGAAUCACUAGAAAUUGACAAUUCGAUCAAUCGUACAAUGGCUCACCCAAGGUUUUUGUUCACUAUAAAUAAAUUAACACAGGUAGAGUAGUAAAUGCACGAACCUGAGAAAAGCAGUUUUCGAUUAAUAACGAGAUUCCGGCAAUUACAUGAAACAAAAGAAAACCACGACUUCGAUCAGAAUUUGAAGCAAACGAUCAGUCCGGACAGAACCACGAGCCGCCUCAGACGGCAACAAAACUUCGAAACCCCCCUCAGUGCCUCAAUCGAACAAUUUGGGAGUAAUCUGGAUUUGUUGUCAGCUUUAGACUCUUUAAACAAAGUGUAUACAAGUGUGUGUGAGUGUAAUGGCUGCUUCAUUUCUUUGGAGAAAAAGCCAUGGCUGAGGCUGCGUUGAAGAAGAACGACGAGGUCUGUUUGCUUGUUCCUAAAAAUGUGGCGGAUCCGAUUUUCUUAGCGGUCUUUUUGUUUUUUAUGAAAAAAAAGAAAUGUGGGGGAGGGGGGCGUUCAGUGUUCAGCGGCUAUGGAGAUUUGGAGAUUGGGGUCGUUGGUUUCAGGGGGUGGUGGGGUGCGAAGAAGAUGAUCCGUGUGGGGGUGGGUCGUUUCUCUUGUGUCUCUGCGACGCAGCUUUCUGAUCUUUUCAGCUCCUUUUGUCCAUUCUUCCCCCUAGUUUUUUAGGCUUUGUUUAAUAUAUAUCGGUCUAGGUUAGUGGUAGGAUUUUAGGUUAAGGGGUAUGGGCCUAGGAAUUAUGGGCUAGGUCCAAAAUUAGGCCUAAAGAUGGGUUGCUCGAGCCCAAGCUCUAUUCUUUUGCCGCGAAUGAGAUUAAAAAUACGCGCCCAUUGUUAAUUGUUUCUACUAUUCAAAUAAUUAUUAAAAUAAAACUAA